rnacentral:rRNA from 1 species
AGCAGCCGCGGUAAUUCCAGCUCCAAUAGCGUAUAUUAAAGUUGUUGCAGUUAAAAAGCUCGUAGUUGAAUUUCGGGGUUCUACCGUUGGUCAGGCUAUUGUCUGUACUGGCGUGUAGAAUUUCUACCUUCUGGGGAACUAUCAUGUUAUUAAUUUAGCGUGGUAGGAAACCAGGACCUUUACCUUGAAAAAAUUAGAGUGUUCAAAGCAGGCUUAUGUCUGAAUACAUUAGCAUGGAAUAAUAAAAUAGGACGGUGGUCCUGUUUUGUGGUUUCUGAAUCACCGUAAUGAUUAAUAGGGAUAGUUGGGGGCAUUAGUAUUCAAUUGUCAGAGGUGAAAUUCUUGGAUUUAUUGAAGACUAACUACUGCGAAAGCAUUUGCCAAGGAUGUUUUCAUUAAUCGAGAACGAAAGUUAGGGGAUCGAAGACGAUCAGAUACCGUCGUAGUCUUAACCAUAAACUAUGCCGACUAGGGAUCGGGAUGAUGUUAAUUUUUAAUGACUCAUUCGGCGCCUUACGGG